GAUGAACGCUGGCGGCGUGCUUAACACAUGCAAGUCGAGCGAAGCACUUUUAAGGAAGUUUUCGGAUGGAAUUAAAAGUGACUGAGCGGCGGACGGGUGAGUAACGCGUGGGUAACCUGCCUCAUACAGGGGGAUAACAGUUGGAAACGACUGCUAAUACCGCAUAAGCGCACGGUGUCACAUGACACGGUGUGAAAAACUCCGGUGGUAUGAGAUGGACCCGCGUCUGAUUAGGUAGUUGGUGAGGUAACGGCCCACCAAGCCGACGAUCAGUAGCCGACCUGAGAGGGUGACCGGCCACAUUGGGACUGAGACACGGACCAAACUCAUACGGGAGGCAGCAGUGGGGAAUAUUGGACAAUGGGGGAAACCCUGAUCCAGCGACGCCGCGUGAGUGAAGAAGUAUUUCGGUAUGUAAAGCUCUAUCAGCAGGGAAGAAAAUGACGGUACCUGACUAAGAAGCCCCGGCUAACUACGUGCCAGCAGCCGCAGUAA
rnacentral:rRNA from 1 species